UGCGUAGGCGGGGCAAUUAGUCAGUGGUGAAAUCCUGCGGCUUAACCGUAGAAUUGCCAUUGAUACUGUUGUCCUUGAGUAUAGUUGAGGUGGGCGGAAUGUGUAAUGUAGCGGUGAAAUGCAUAGAGAUUACACAGAACACCAAUUGCGAAGGCAGCUCACUAAGCUAUAACUGACGCUGAGGCACGAAAGCGUGGGGAGCGAACAGGAUUAGAUACCCUGGUAGUC
rnacentral:rRNA from 1 species